rnacentral:lncRNA from 1 species
UUUGGGUACAUUAUUGAAUGGAUGAUUGUUUCUAGAUUUAUUUUGAGUGCAAACAUUUAAACUUUUUUAGGCUUAGGAUGGUUUGAAGCUUUAGGUAUAGUGUAGAUUCACUGUAGAACCAUUUCUAUUAUUGAGGUCUAAAUAUUUGCCCUCCCUUGUUUAAUUGUGAUUUUGAUUUGCUCUCAUUGAUGUACAUUCUUUCAAUAUAACAAGGAGUAAAUAUAAGGCCAGGGAACAAUGAGUGAAUGGCAUUCAAGAUUAAAUCAUAUUCAGCAGCCAUACAAAAUUCCAUUGACCUAGAUUGAAACAAGAAAAAAG